rnacentral:rRNA from 1 species
AUUUUUCUCAAUGGGGGAAACCCUGAAGGAGCGACGCCGCGUGGGGGAUGAAUGGCUUCGGCCCGUAAACCCCUGUCAUUUGCGAACAAACCUUACUAUUUAACAGGUAGUGAGCUGGUUGUAGCGAAAGAGGAAGGGACGGCUAACUCUGUGCCAGCAGCCGCGGUAAUACAGAGGUCCCAAGCGUUGUUCGGAUUCACUGGGCGUAAAGGGUGCGUAGGCGGUCGGGUAAGUUUGAUGUGAAAUCUCUGGGCUCAACCCAGAAAUGGCAUUGAAUACUAUUCGGCUAGAGAAUCGGAGGGGGGACUGGAAUACUUGGUGUAGCAGUGAAAUGCGUAGAUAUCAAGUGGAACACCAGUGGCGAAGGCGAGUCCCUGGACGAUUUCUGACGCUGAGGCACGAAAGCUAGGGGAGCAAAC